rnacentral:rRNA from 1 species
UACCAGCACCCCGAGUGGUCGGGACGUUUAUUGGGCCUAAAGCAUCCGUAGCCGGUUCUACAAGUCUUCCGUUAAAUCCACCUGCUCAACAGAUGGGCUGCGGAAGAUACUAUGGAGCUAGGAGGCGGGAGAGGCAAGCGGUACUCGAUGGGUAGGGGUAAAAUCCGUUGAUCCAUUGAAGACCACCAGUGGCGAAGGCGGCUUGCCAGAAUGCGCUCGACGGUGAGGGAUGAAAGCUGGGGGAGCAAACCGG